CCUAAUAUUAAAAUACCAAAUAAACACUUAGUGAAAUUUUGUUUGCCCUCAAUCGAUCACCCUCAGUCCCUCAUCCUCACUCGACACACACCCUCAUCCUCACUCAACAGACACACGAAAGAGCGAAGAAAUCAGAAAACUAAGGGGGAGAAUGGGAAGAAGAAGAGAGGAGAGGGAAGGAAGAACGACGGCGGCUAACUGGCUAGGGAUCUGCCGUCGUCGUCGUCGAAUGCCAGUGAGAGAGAGAGAGAGCUCGAGGAAGAGAAAACGCAAUGGAGGAGAGAAGAAAGGAGUGCUCCGUCGCCGCUGAAGCUCCACCGCCGCUGCUAGGGCUUGUUGCCGUCGCCGUUCUGCCACCGCCAGGCUGAUGUACCGCCGCCGAGGAUCUCGAAUGGGAUGUCUCACCGCCGUUGUGCUCUGUCGCCGCGCUGCCAUCGACUGGAGCUCGUCGCUGAGUUGCUGCACCGUCUCCAAGCCGUUACGUCCCCGCUCAUCUCUUCUUCACCGUCACUGCUCAUCACCAUGGUCGUAUCCUCUGUCACCAGUUGAUGCAGCUGGGCUCAAUAUUCCUUUUGAAGAAGGCCCCCAGUGUUAGGUAAUGGAAGAUCUCUGUGAGCGCUAUUUUGACCCUAAUUAUUUGAACUUCUUUCACAUGAUAAGGUAAGGUGAGAUGUUUAACGGCACUUUUAUAUGCUCUGCUGAUCACCCUGUACCACCAUAGUAAAAUUGCCAAUUGAAGAAAAUUUGUUCUAUACUCUGCAAUUAGGGUUAAAUUUAAUUAGGAUUCUAUAUCACAAUUUCAUAUUUAAUUAGGGUUUUUCUAUGUCUGGUUCAAUUUCUGCCGUGCUGUCUGUGUUAGAAGCUUUUCCGUGCAGAAUCGCAUUUGAUCAUUGCUUGUUAUUAUUAGUGUUGAAUUCUAAUUUUGUUCUUUAUUCAAUUUGUGAUGAAUUGACUUUGGUUUUGUGAGAAGGUGUACUGCGGUUUAGGGUUCUGAUUUUAUGAUUUUUAAUUUGGGGGUUUUAGCUUCUGAAUGCGUAUUGUUUCUAAUUUUUAGGGUUAUAGGUUUUAGCUUCUGAAUGCGUAUUAUCUUAUGAAUCUACUCUGAAUUCUGUUUGA